rnacentral:lncRNA from 1 species
AAGGAAUCCAGUUAACUGAAUGACAGUUGCAAGAGAAUAGAGAAUGUAGCACUGGCCUAAUGCAGUAAUGAGUCGCUGGUGUCUCCACAAUAGCGUCUCAUCCCACUCCUCAGACAUCCCGGCUCUUCUUUGCAUCCCUGCUUUUUCCUUCUUCUGAUCCUUCUGCUGUGAAUGUGGAAAUGUUCUUCUUACCCAUACAGCAAAGACAAAAGACAACCAGUAAAUGAAUGUUGGAAGAACACGUAAGUAAUCCCCCCAUGCUAUGUGAGCAAAGUAACUUCAGAAAGCAUUUGUUGAUGGAGACAUUGAGCCAGUUGUUUGGGGGUCUGGGAAUCGCCGCACAAACCACUCAGACACCAAUCUCAGUCAAAUAGGGAUAGUUUAUUGAAAGCCACACUCCAAAUUUGAUGUAUAAGGAC